AACGAACGCUGGCGGCAUGCCUAACACAUGCAAGUCGAACGAGACUUCGGUCUAGUGGCGGACGGGUGAGUAACGCGUAGGAACCUGCCAAGCAGUGGGGAAUAACAGCUGGAAACGGCUGCUAAUACCGCAUACGCCCGUUCGGGGGAAAGAUUUAUCGCUGUUUGAGGGUCCUGCGUUCGAUUAGCUAGUUGGUGAGGUAACGGCCCACCAAGGCGACGAUCGAUAGCUGGUCUGAGAGGAUGAUCAGCCACACUGGGACUGAGACACCGGCCCAGACUCCUACGGGAGGCAGCAGGUGGGGAAUAUUGGACAAUGGGGGAAACCCUGAUCCAGCAAUGCCGCGUGCGUGAAGAAGGCCUUAGGGUUGUAAAGCGCUUUCACCUGUGAUGAUGAUGACAGUAGCAGGAGAAGAAGCCCCGGCUAACUCCGUG
rnacentral:rRNA from 1 species